rnacentral:rRNA from 1 species
UAAGCGGAGGAAAAGAAACUAACAAGGAUUCCCCUAGUAACUGCGAGUGAAGCGGGAAAAGCUCAAAUUUGGAACCUGGUGGUCUUUGGCCAUCCGAGUUGUAAUUUAGAGAAGCGUCUUCCGCGCUGGACCGUGCACAAGUCUCCUGGAAUGGAGCGUCAUAGAGGGUGAGAAUCCCGUCUUUGGCAUGGAAUCCCAGGGCUUCUGUGAUGCGCUCUCGACGAGUCGAGUUGUUUGGGAAUGCAGCUCAAAAUGGGUGGUGAACUCCAUCUAAAGCUAAAUAUUGGCGAGAGACCGAUAGCGAACAAGUACCGUGAGGGAAAGAUGAAAAGCACUUUGGAAAGAGAGUGAAACAGUACGUGAAAUUGUUGAAAGGGAAACGCUUGAAGUCAGUCGCGUCGACCGAGACUCAGCCUUGCCUCGGCUUGGUGUACUUCUCGGCUUGACGGGUCAGCAUCGAUUUCAAUCCUCGGAUAAUGGCAAGGGAAAGGUAGCACCUUUUUAGGUGUGUUAUAGUCCUCUGUCGCAUGCGAGGGUCGGGAUCGAGGAACUCAGCACGCACCUCAGGGUGUCGGGGCCUUGGCCCACGUUUACGUGCUUAGGAUGCUGGCGUAAUGGCUUUAAACGACC